CGAUGGAUAGGGGUUCUGAGAGGAAGGUCCCCCACAUUGGAACUGAGACACGGUCCAAACUCCUACGGGAGGCAGCAGUGAGGAAUAUUGGUCAAUGGGCGAGAGCCUGAACCAGCCAAGUAGCGUGAAGGAUGACUGCCCUAUGGGUUGUAAACUUCUUUUAUAAAGGAAUAAAGUCGGGUAUGCAUACCCGUUUGCAUGUACUUUAUGAAUAAGGAUCGGCUAACUCCGUGCCAGCAGCCGCGGUAAUACGGAGGAUCCGAGCGUUAUCCGGAUUUAUUGGGUUUAAAGGGAGCGUAGAUGGAUGUUUAAGUCAGUUGUGAAAGUUUGCAGCUCAACCGUAAAAUUGCAGUUGAUACUGGAUAUCUUGAGUGCAGUUGAGGCAGGCGGAAUUCGUGGUGUAGCGGUGAAAUGCUUAGAUAUCACGAAGAACUCCGAUUGCGAAGGCAGCCUGCUAAGCUGCAACUGACAUUGAGGUU
rnacentral:rRNA from 1 species